UACGUAGGGGGCAAGCGUUGUCCGGAAUUAUUGGGCGUAAAGAGCGUGUAGGCGGUCCGGUAAGUCAGCUGUGAAAGUCAAGGGCUCAACCCUUGAAAGCCGGUUGAUACUGUCGGGCUAGAGUCCGGAAGAGGCGAGUGGAAUUCCCGGUGUAGCGGUGAAAUGCGCAGAUAUCGGGAGGAACACCAAUGGCGAAGGCAGCUCACUGGCCCGGUACUGACGCUGAUGUGCGAAAGCGUGGGGAGCAAACAGG
rnacentral:rRNA from 1 species